CAGCCGGUAGUAUAGCCAGGACUAGUAUGCGGGCCUGUCGAGCCCGUGACCCGGGUUCGGGGGAGAACCCGCCCAAAAAUCCCGGCCGGGGCGCCA
rnacentral:tRNA from 1 species